rnacentral:tRNA from 1 species
GAAGGGUUCCAAAGGAUUGCUACUCCUUAAACCCGAGAUUUGAACCUCGGACCCAUCA